UACGAAGGGGGCUAGCGUUGUUCGGAAUCACUGGGCGUAAAGGGCGCGUAGGCGGCCAUAUAAGUCGGGGGUGAAAGCCUGUGGCUCAACCACAGAAUUGCCUUCGAUACUGUAUGGCUCGAGACCGGAAGAGGUAAGUGGAACUGCGAGUGUAGAGGUGAAAUUCGUAGAUAUUCGCAAGAACACCAGUGGCGAAGGCGGCUUACUGGUCCGGUUCUGACGCUGAGGCACGAAAGCGUGGGGAGCAAACAGG
rnacentral:rRNA from 1 species